UGCAGUCGAACGGUCCCGCAAGGGACAGUGGCGGACGGCUGAGUAACACGUAGGAACCUACCCUAAAGUGAAGGAUAGCUCGCCGAAAGGCGGGGUAAUACUGCAUGUGAUCGCAAGAUCAAAGAGCUUAACUGCUCGCUUUAGGAGGGGCCUGCGGCCUAUCAGCUAGUUGGUGAGGUAAUGGCUCACCAAGGCUAUGACGGGUAGCUGAUCUGAGAGGAUGACCAGCCAGAAUGGAACUGAGAACGGUCCAUACAUCUACGGAUGGCAGCAACCGGGAAUCGUCGGCAAUGGACGAAAGUCUGACCGCGCGACGCCGCGUGUAGGAUGAAGGCCUACGGGUUGUAAACUACUCAAUUUCAAGCUAUAGCAAGAAAGGAUGAAGUCGCUGCUAACUACGUGCCAGAAGCCUCGGUAAUACGUAGGCGACAAGCGUUAUCCGGAUUUACUGGGCGUAAAGCGAGUGUAGGUGGUAUUUCAAGUCUUUUUUGAAAUCGUCCCGCUCAACGGGACUCACGGAAAAGAUACUGAAAAACUAGAGUCAUAUAGGGACAACUGGAACUCUCGGUGUAGGGGUGAAAUCCGAUGAUAUCGAGAGGAACACCAAGGGCGAAGGCAGGUUGUUGGAUAUGUACUGACACUGAGACUCGACAGCUAGGGGAGCGAAAGGGAUUAGAGACCCCUGUAGUCCUAGCCGUAAACUAUGAGUGCUAGAUGUUGUCGCCGUAGGCGACAGUGUCGUAAGCUAACGCGUUAAGCACUCCGCCUGGGGAGUACGGCCGCAAGGCUAAAACUCAAAGGAAUUGACGGGGAGGAGCACAACCAGUGGAGCGUGUGGUUUAAUUCGAUACGAAGCGAAAAACCUUACCAAGACUUGACAUGUAUUUUACACUUUUGGCGAAAGUUGAAAGUUCAACGGA
rnacentral:rRNA from 1 species